CUGAAGAACACCAUAAAUCCACAGUGAACAAAAAGUGUGAUAUAUUACUACAUCAUUAGUAAAGUUACAUCAUCAGAUAUGCGAUGAUAUUAUAACUAAAAUAGCUUCACAGUUGUAAAGAAAAAAAUCCAAAUGUGUCCCAGUUUAUUUCCUCUUGCAGUGUAUGUGAAUGACAUAAACUGAAGGAAGUGAACAUGGACCCAGACGGUCUAUAUAAAUACAUUCAAUGGCAAACAUACACAGUUAAAAUGGUCGAUAUUUGACUUUGGGAUUAAACUAAAAACAGCACGGUGUGAAAGCUGUAACCUGGGUGAGGUUCCUGUAGUCAUGGUGACUGCAGUAUUAGCAGUUAGAAAAAGCAGUACCAUAGCUACUUGUAGCUGUAUGCUAACACUAGCAGCAUAUUACUUUUUAGCAGUAGGUUAACUGUUUAGUAAUAGUUGACAUUAUUUCAGUGGAAAGUUGUGUCCUAUUAGCUACUAAGGCAUGGCCGCCUUCCCGAGGAAGGAAGGCGGCCAUGCAGGAGGAUAACGUCACGACAACGGUAGCCACUAGCUAACAUUAGCUAGUGGCUAACUUUAGCUAGUAGCUAACUUUAGCUAGUAUCUAACUUUAGCUAGUGGCUAACUUUAACUAACUUCAACUAGUGGCUAACUUCAACUAGUGGCUAACUUUAGCUAGUGGCUAACUUUAGCUAGUAGCUAACUUUAACUAACUUUAGCUAGUAGCUAACUAUAGCUAGUGGCUAACUUUAACUAACUUUAGCUAGUAGCUAACUUUAGCUAGUGGCUAACUUUAACUAACUUUAGCUAGUGGCUAACUUUAGCUAGUAGCUAACUUUAACUAAUUUUAGCUAGUAGCUAAUUUUAGCUAGUGGCUAACUUUAGCUAGUGGCUAACUUUAACUAAUUUUAGCUAGUGGCUAACUUUAGCUAGUAGCUAACUUUAACUAACUUUAGCUAGUAGCUAACUUUAGCUAGUGGCUAACUUUAGCUAGUGGCUAACUUUAGCUAGUAGCUAACUUUAGCUAGUGGCUAACUUUAACUAACUUCAACUAGUGGCUAACUUUAGCUAGUGGCUAACUUUACCAGCUACCACGUUAGCCACUAGCUAAAGUUAGCCACUAGCUAACUUUAGCUAGUGGCUACCACGUUAGCCUCCUUUCUUUGGCAAAUCGGAAGCUUCAAUUUUCAAGUAAACCUGCUCUGGACUCUGGUUAGCAACAAUGAAAAAGAUGGCACACAGAGGACCCUGAACAGCGUCUGGGGAUGGAUGCCAUCCAAGCCUCAGAGAGCAUGCUGGGAGGUUCUUCUUCUUCUUCUCUCCGUUUAUUGGCGGAUCGCAAACAACUUUAAGAUAAACGGCAUGAAGAGCAGAAACUAUCCACAAUGCUACUGUGCCUCUCCAGCCAGAGGGAUGGCAGAACACUUCGACAGACGUUACCUCAAAGGUGUGAUGAAAGGCUCCGUAGUCGAUGUCAAAGAAGCCCUCUGCCAGCGACAUCAUCGGGCUAAACCUGUGACCCCACAUCACCUCCUCCGCUAGAUAGGAGCUCCUCGCCUGGCACGUCAUCCCUGCACACACACACACACACAAACACAAGCAUACUGGAUGACCACGAUCUCAAAGUCCUCCUUCUCCAGCUGGGACUGCGACAUGUCCCAGAAGGGCGAAUGUGUGUCAAUCUCAUGGGAGAUCACCAGCGGAGAGACCAGGAAGAGACGAUCAUCUCCCGUCUCAAAGCCCACGCUGAUGUCUGUCUGGUCCAGAGGGAUGAACUCACCUGAAGGAGACAAUAAAGUAGGAGUCAUGCAGCAGCCAUGGUGCUCACCAUGAAGGCGUUGACCAUUGAGCCCAGUAUAGCUUGCAGCAGCAGCAGCAUGGUGCCCACUGGACACUGGUCGGUGAUGACGCGGUGGCCGUAGCCAAUGGUGGUCUCUGUCUCGAUGGAGAAGAGGAAGGCCGAGAUGAAGCCGUUGACAUUGUUGACGCAUGGCGUCCACGUCUCAUCCUCCAGAUGGUCAAAAUCACCCCUUGGGAAGGAACGAAAGGAGGAGAAUGUUAGGCUAUGAGGUACCAGAUGGCCCCGAAGAAGAGCCACGUGACGGCGUAGGCCAUGACGAAGACGAAGAGCGAGCAGCGCCAGUUGAGGUCCACCAGCGUGGUGAAGAUGUCGGUCAGGUAGCGGUAAGUCUCCC